AGCAGCCGCGGUAAUUCCAGCUCCAAUAGCGUAUAUUAAAGUUGUUGUGGUUAAAAAGCUCGUAGUUGAACCUUGGGCCUGGCUGGCCGGUCCGCCUCACCGCGUGUACUGGUCCGGCCGGGCCUUUCCCUCUGUGGAACCCCAUGCCCUUCACUGGGUGUGGCGGGGAAACAGGACUUUUACUGUGAAAAAAUUAGAGUGCUCCAGGCAGGCCUAUGCUCGAAUACAUUAGCAUGGAAUAAUAGAAUAGGACGUGUGGUUCUAUUUUGUUGGUUUCUAGGACCGCCGUAAUGAUUAAUAGGGACAGUCGGGGGCAUCAGUAUUCAAUUGUCAGAGGUGAAAUUCUUGGAUUUAUUGAAGACUAACUACUGCGAAAGCAUUUGCCAAGGAUGUUUUCAUUAAUCAGGAACGAAAGUUAGGGGAUCGAAGACGAUCAGAUACCGUCGUAGUCUUAACCAUAAACUAUGCCGACUAGGGAUCGGACGGUGCUAUUUUUUGACCCG
rnacentral:rRNA from 1 species